CCUCUCAAUUUAUUUGAAUUUUGAUAAAAUUAAACAAUUUAGCAAUUGUUUGUGAUAUAGUAUCUUAAUUUUUCUGGGCUAAUCUUAUUUAGUUAUACACAAUAAUUGUGCUUUAUUGGUUAAUUGUGUGUAGUUCUUGUUGUGAUAUAUCAUAUGAAAGUAGUUUUGCUUGUUAAUUUACAAUACUGAGUGAAGUAUUAUUGGUCACAAUCUAUCUAUAAAUUUGCUAUUCAAGUGUUGUUAUUAAUUUAAUUGCUACAGAUUUUAUGCGAUUGUAUUUUGUUAAAUUACAAAGAUAAAUGGCUUAUAGAUAGUCUAUGCUUUGUUCUGAUCACACAUGAACCUGCUUAGUUAUAAGAAAAUAUCUUACUUUUCAUUUGGGAGUUUCAUUUAUUGAGUAGAUAUUUAGCUUGCUAUUUUUACACCAGAAGUCAAAAUGUUGUUUAUUUCUUAAUAUAUAAUUGGAAUAUAGCAAGUCAAAGUUUGAUUUCUAUAAUGAGGUGGUUUCCACAUGAUUCUAGAUGUGUUUAGUGAGCUUACUUUAUUAUACAUCAUUAGAAUAAUCCAAUCAUUGACAUAAUGCGUAAGACUACUACACAACUCACAAGGUACUAAUUUGCAAGUUCAUUAUAAUAAUCCUAUUAUUUCAAUAUACAAAUCAUAACUUUGCAACAAGUUUAAUCUUUCCACCACUUUAUGUUGGAUAACGAGUAAACAUUUAUAGUUUUAUAUACUAAAGUACCUAUUAUAUAAGUCAAUGAUAUACUAUGAACCAACUAUUAUAUAUCUAACCACACCUUAUGGCAGCUUAUCAAAGUAACUAGCUACUUUGUUAGUAGAAGUAUAGUUUUAGUUUCUAGUUUACUUUAAUAAACAUGAGUAAACAAUUAUAACACUUAAAAAAAAAGAACAAACUAACAAAAAUUAAUUUGCAGCAGUAUGAGUUCAGAUCGAGGAUGGAUGUAUAAGAGACUUGAUGAUGGAAAAUUUCUUAGUUCAAUUUUUGUUAACAAAGUUGAUGAAUUCAUUGAUUUUGCUAGUGUCCAAGAAAAUGUAUUGAUAGAUGGCUUAAUGAAAUGCCCUUGUUCAAAAUGUGAAAAUAUCCCAUAUCAAAGUGUAGACACCAUCAAGUUACAUCUUUACAAGAAUGGCUUUCAACCUGAUUACUAUCGUUGGACAUGUCAUGGGGAAGACUACUUUCAAAAUAUAACUUUAAGUAGUUGUUUCACCACUACACCAGAAGAGUCUAACCCCUACAAGGACAUGGUAAUGGAUGCAUUUGGACAUGAAUAUGUUGUAGAAGAUGUUGUAGAUGAGGACCCACCUCUAGAGCAAAAAAAGUUCUUUGACAUGUUGGCAGCUGCAGAGAAACCUCUAUACAAUGGAUCUAACAUGUCUUGGCUUUCUGUUGCAGCAAGAAUCACAAAUAUCAAAUGUGAAUAUAACAUCCCUCAUAGAGUUGUUGAUAGUGUUACAUCUUUAAUGAAAGAUAUGUGUCCAGAGGAGAACAAGAUGACUGAUAAUUUUUAUAAGACUCGGAGACUACUUGAUGGACUAAAACUACCGCAUCACAAGAUAGAUGUAUGUCCCAAUGGAUGUAUGUUAUUUUGGAAGGAACACAAAGAUCUUGUAGAAUGUGUUGUUUGCAACGAAGGUCGUUUCAAGCCUUCAAGGGCAAAUGGUAAGAAAAGUCCUAAAAGUAUGCUUCAUUAUUUACCAAUUGCUCCAAGAUUGCAAAGGUUGUACGCUACCAAAUCUACGGCAAAGCAAAUGAGGUGGCAUGCAGAGUUUAAGCGACUAGAAGGUGUAAUGGCUCAUCCGUGUGAUGGAGAGGCAUGGAUUGAUUUUGACAAAACAUUUCAAGAUUUUGCAAAAGAAUCAAGAAAUGUUCGACUUGGCCUUUGUACUGAUGGGUUUUCACCUUUUGGUAAGUCAGGGAUUCAAUAUUCUUGUUGGUCUGUGAUUGUAACUCCUUAUAAUUUGCCACCAUGGUUGUGCUUGAAAAAGCCUUUCAUGUUUUUAAGUUUGCUCAUUCCUGGCCCAAAAAGCCCUAAGGGAAAUCUCGAUGUCUUCUUGCAACCUCUGAUUGAUGAGCUAAAGAUGCUCUGGAAUGUAGGGGUGCCAACUUAUGACAUCUCUAAAAAACAGAAUUUUCAAAUGAAAGUUGCAUUGCUUUGGACAAUUAGCGAUUUCCCCGCUUAUGGUAUGUUGUCCGGAUGGAGUACGGCCGGUCGACUAGCAUGCCCAUAUUGCAUGGAGAAGACAAAAACAUUCACUCUUACUCAUGGAAAUAAGCAAACAUGGUUUGAUUGUCAUUGACAAUUCUUAACCCAUGACCACGUUUUCAGAAAAAAUAAAAGUGGGUUCUACAAAAAUAGAAUUGAGUGUUCUUCCCCUCCACCAAGAUUGAGUGGAGAGCAAAUUAAGGAGAGAUUGUCAUCUUUGCCAAAAGUUGAAGGUUGUUCAUGUGGAAAUGUUAAGAUUCAAGCAAAUGGAGUGAGCUUGAUGAAAGAGACCCAAGAAGAAGUUUUGCAAAGAUAUGGCAAAGAGCAUCAUUGGAUAAGGAAAGUAUUUUUUGGAAGCUCCCAUAUUGGAGCAAGCUCUUGAUACGUCACAAUAUUGAUGUCAUGCAUAUUGAAAAGAAUGUUUUUGAUAACUUGUUCCACACUAUCAUGGAUGUUAAAGGGAGAGUAAAGAUAACAUGGAAUCAAGAAAAGAUCUAAAAAAGUUUUGUAAGCGGCGGAAGUUAGAAGUUCAAGAUGUGAUUUCUCGUGAUGGAAAGUCAAAGAAGCAAGUGAUGCCAAAUGCUUCAUAUGUCUUGCCUAAGGAGAAGAGAAAACUUGUAUGUGAAUGGGUGAAGAAGUUGAAGUUUCCUGAUGGUUAUGCAUCUAAUUUAAGUAGAUGUGUUGAUACUAAGGAAUGCAAGUUAUCAGGAUUGAAAAGUCAUGAUUGUCAUGUCUUUAUGCAACGUUUAUUGCCAAUUGCCUUUAAGGAUCUUCUGCCUAUCAGUGUAUGGAAUGUUGUGACUGAAUUAAGUCAAUUCUUUAGAGAUUUAUGCUCGGCCACUUUGAAAUUUUAUGAGAUGGUACGAUUAGAGAACAUAUUGCUGAGAUUCUUUGUAAGUUAGAAAGAGUACUUCCACCUAGUUUCUUCAAUUCCAUGGAGCAUCUUCCUGUCCAUUUACCAUAUGAGGCAAAAGUUGGAGGACCAGUACAGUUUAGAUGGAUGUACCCUUUUGAAAGGUAAAUAUACAUUCAUCUUUACUUUCCUUAAUUUUUAUUCUGGCAUAUUUUCCUUCUACUUCAAUAUAUGUCAAAAAAAAAUCAAGUAAAAAAAAUCAAUUAUUUUUGUUUGUUAGGUUUUUAUAUCAUUUGAAGAAAAAGGUAGGAAAUAAAUCUCGAGUUGAAGGGUCCAUUUGUAAUGCCUACCUAAUCGAAGAAAUUUCAAACUUUUGCUCUCUGUAUUUUGAGAAAGAUGUUGACACAAAGGCUAACACUCAAGAAUUAGUUGAUCCAUGUGUUCAAGAACACUUAGACCUACCUGAGAUUUUCUCAAGCAUUGAUGGGCAUAGUUCCUCCAACGGUAAAUUUUGUUAUCUUGAUGAGAGGGAUUACAACACUGCACACAGAUAUGUCCUUAAUAACUCUGAAUUACUUUCAGAAUAUGAACGGUAAUUACAUGUCCAACAACUUUUAUACACUUUCAUCAAAUAGUUAGUUUUUUAAGAUAUACUAAAGCAACCUUUUAAUAGCAUUUUUGAGGAGAAAAUUAUUAGAGAACAUAGUUGCGGAAAUGAGGCUGAAGUUUGGUCCAAGUAUGAAGAUAAAUUUCCUAGUUGGUUCAAGGAAUAUGUAAGUAGCAUACUGGCUAUAAAUUUGUUACAUUUCUAUUUGAGGAUAUUUUAAAUUGGCUUUAAGAGUGUAUCUUUGGUAUAGGUUCUUGCAACGGGCACAAACGACGACAUAAUUUAUUCUUUGGCACUUGGUCCUUCAACAAGGGUUCAAAAAUUCAAACAAUAUCAUGUUAAUGGGUUCCAUUUUCACACAUUUGACUAUGGAAAACAUAAGUCUAACAUGAAUUAUGGUGUAUGUGUGAAAGGUGUUCAAGGAAAUGAUUACUAUGGAAUUCUACAAGAAAUCAUAGAAUUAGUGUAUUUUGGGGAUAAAAAGUGUUUUAAAACACUCUUAUUCAAAUGUGAUUGGUUUGAUCCAGGACAAGGUACAAGGACACAUGAGAAGUAUAAAGUAGUUGAGGUGAAUCAUAUGAGAAAAUAUCCAAAGUAUGAUCCAUUUAUAUUGUCUUAUCAAGCUGAGCAAGUGUAUUUUACUCCAUGUCCUAAUACUAGCAACGAAAGAAACCAAUGGUGGGCUGUGUUUAACAUCAAGGCAAGAGGAAUUAUCGAUGCACCAAAUGUGGAGGUGGAAUUUCAAGAGGAUUUUAUUGAUAAUCCAUCCUCACUUUCUGAUGUUGAUGUAUACAUUCAAGAAGAUGAAUUUACCUUUGAAGAAAUAUAUGGAGAAGAAGCAGCUGACAGUGUCGAGGAAGAAGAAGAAGAGGACGAUGGAAUGGAUGAGGAUGAUGACGAUGAGGAAGUAGAUGAGUAUGAGGAUGAAGACGAAGAUGAGGUUGAGGAUGAAGAAGAAGAUGAGGAUUUAGAUGUGGAUGACUGAAAGUUGAUCUUUUUUGGACUGCUGCUAUUUUUAUACCCUGUUUAAUUGAUAAUCUAUGACUGUUUGUAUAAGUUUUUGAUCUCUAAGUUAUAAGUUUGUAGGGAAUCUGAACUAUUAUUUUAUUAUCAAUGUUAGUCUUUUUUGGACCGCUUGCUAGGCCUAUGUUGAUGAUGAUGAAUUUUUUUUUUUAUUGAUUCUUUUACAUUUUUAUAAUGUUAAUUUUUCAUAGCAUAUCUUUCUGUUUCAGGUUAUAUGUGUUAAUUUUAUUUACAUUUACAGAGCUAUUUAAAAUUUUCACUUUGUUUGGAUUUGUGCAGAAUAUGUCCAAGUGUAGACGCAGAGGUGGCUAUAAUGGGAUGGGUCCAAUAAUUCGACAUAUACUUGUUCAUGUGCCAGUUAGCCACUUUCAAUUUCCACCACCAACAGAGCAAGAGAGUGACCAGAAUGUGCCACAUGAUCAUUCUUCUUUACAACAACCUCACUUUUCUGAUCAUGAGAUGGAAACUAACAAUCAUGAGGAGGAAGCCAACAAUCAUGAGACUGAAAUAAAUAAUCAUGAAAUAGAAAAUAGUAUAUCUGAUGAAACAGGGAAUUCUGCUAAGGGAGAUAAAGUUCUGCAUCCUACUAGUUUCUGGUAGGUUUAAGUAAUGCUUAAUGAACGAUGUAUGGUGUGGUUUGCGAUUGUACAAAACUGAGAGUUAAGUUUGAAAAAAAUAGUGUGGUUUCAUGAUUCCGAGGUUGUUAAUGCAGUCGUGAAUACAUCAUAUAAGAUGUACUUUCUUGGACCAUGGUGUAAUUGGUCAAUGGUACCUCGAGAAGCUAAGGUUUUAUGGUGGAAUGCCUUCAAG